UUUUUUUUUUGAGAGAGAGAGAGAGAAGAGGAGAGGGAUGUGUAUACAAAUAGGUAGAUUAAAGCAUUAAAUAGAAUAAUAAAAGUCACAAAAGUUUGGAUCCAAUCCAAUAUGAACUACAAAGACUCUUAUUGAAUUACAGAGACUCUUCUUGUUUAGUUGUCUGUGACAAUUCAUGAUUCACAGCCUCCAAACUUUACAAAUUUUUUCUUAAUUCUAAUCAAGAUUAAUUUGAAUUCUAUAGAGUAUACUUCUUACUUCCAAAAAUGUGGCAUUGGAUGCUGAAGCUU
rnacentral:lncRNA from 1 species